rnacentral:rRNA from 1 species
AAGGAUCAUUAGUGAAUAUAGGACGUCCAACUUAACUUGGAGUCCGAACUCUCACUUUCUAACCCUGUGCACUUGUUUGGGAUAGUAACUCUCGCAAGAGAGCGAACUCCUAUUCACUUAUAAACACAAAGUCUAUGAAUGUAUUAAAUUUUAUAACAAAAUAAAACUUUCAACAACGGAUCUCUUGGCUCUCGCAUCGAUGAAGAACGCAGCGAAAUGCGAUAAGUAAUGUGAAUUGCAGAAUUCAGUGAAUCAUCGAAUCUUUGAACGCACCUUGCGCUCCAUGGUAUUCCGUGGAGCAUGCCUGUUUGAGUGUCAUGAAUACUUCAACCCUCCUCUUUCUUAAUGAUUGAAGAGGUGUUUGGUUUCUGAGCGCUGCUGGCCUUUACGGUCUAGCUCGUUCGUAAUGCAUUAGCAUCCGCAAUCGAACUUCGGAUUGACUUGGCGUAAUAGACUAUUCGCUGAGGAAUUCUAGUCUUCGGACUAGAGCCGGGUUGGGUUAAAGGAAGCUUCUAAUCAGAAUGUCUACAUUUUAAGAUUAGAUCUCAAAUCAGGUAGGACUACCCGCUGAACUUAAGCAUA